rnacentral:rRNA from 1 species
GACGAACGCUGGCGGCGUGCUUAACACAUGCAAGUCGAACGGAAAGGCCCUGCUUUUGUGGGGUGCUCGAGUGGCGAACGGGUGAGUAACACGCGAGUAACCUGCCCUUGACUUUGGGAUAACUUCAGGAAACUGGGGCUAAUACCGGAUAGGAGCUCCUGCUGCAUGGUGGGGGUUGGAAAGUUUCGGCGGUUGGGGAUGGACUCGCGGCUUAUCAGCUUGUUGGUGGGGUAGUGGCUUACCAAGGCUUUGACGGGUAGCCGGCCUGAGAGGGUGACCGGCCACAUUGGGACUGAGAUACGGCCCAGACUCCUACGGGAGGCAGCAGUGGGGAAUAUUGCACAAUGGGCGGAAGCCUGAUGCAGCAACGCCGCGUGCGGGAGGACGGCCUUCGGGUUGUAACCGCUUUCGCCUGUGACGAAGCGUGAGUGACGGUAAUGGGUAAAGAAGCACCGGCUAACUACGUG